ACAACGACUCUCGGCAACGGAUAUCUCGGCUCACGCAUCGAUGAAGAACGUAGCAAAAUGCGAUACUUGGUGUGAAUUGCAGAAUCCCGUGAACCAUCGAGUUUUUGAACGCAAGUUGCGCCCGAAGCCACUCGGCCGAGGGCACGCCUGCCUGGGCGUCACGC
rnacentral:rRNA from 1 species